AGCAAAUUCUUGAAGAUUUUCCAUGGGAAAGAAGCGGAAGCACACAGAAACAGAGGCUGCGGCCAUAGAAGAAACUGCAAUAGAAAGGCCUAAGAGAACUCUUUUAGGUUUUAAAGAUGGUUCUACUGAAGAAAACAAAGAGACUUCAGUAGUUACUUUUAGAAAUAAAGAGAAAGUUUUGGUGACUUGUUCUCGUCGUAUUAAUUACAGGUAUCGGCAUUUAAUGUUGAAUUUGGUGUCCCUUUUGCCUCACUGUAAGAAGGAUAACAAGGUAGAGUCUAAAGAUUCUAAAGGUGCAACGUUGAAUGAGCUAGUUGAGUUGAAGAGCUGUUCCUCUUGUUUGUUCUUUGAGUGCCGGAAGGGAAAAGACCUCUAUCUUUGGAUGGCGAAAUGCCCCAAUGGUCCAUCCGUGAAGUUUUUAGUCAAUGCAGUGCACACAAUGGAAGAAUUAAAACUGACUGGAAAUCACUUGAAGGGUUCACGCCCUAUUUUGACUUUCUCAAGCAAUUUCGAUAAACAGCCUCACUGGAAGCUUUUGAAAGAAAUGUUCAUACAGAUUUUUGGAACCCCAAAGGAUCACCGGAAAUCUAAACCUUUCUAUGAUCAUGUAAUUGUGUUUUCAAUUCUUGAUGACCACGUGUGGUUCCGUAAUUACCAGAUAUCUUGUCCUCAUAAUGGAGCAACACAGAAAAUAGACCGUGGGGACCUGGAAAAGAUGACACUUGUUGAGGUUGGUCCAAGGUUUUGCUUGAACCCAAUUAAGAUCUUUGGUGGUAGCUUUGGUGGCCCUACUCUUUAUGAGAACCCAUUUUAUGUUGCACCCAAUCAGAUCCGAUCACUAGAGAAAAAACAGAAGGCUGGCAAAUAUGCAAAGAAAGUCAAAGCAAAGACCAGGAGAAAGAUACAUCAAUUGUCUAAUCCUAUGGAGGUGGAUGAAUUUGCCGAUAUGUGGAAGGAGUGACAAGUCGUUGGAAAACAUGAAUGGACUCCAGGUCCAGGACAAUUUUGUAUUGCUAGAAUUAUGAUCCUUUUCGAACAUUUUGUAGUAAACUAUGUCCUGGUUUUCUCCCCAAUUAGAACACAUUCUAUGCAAAAUCAUAAUAGGGCAGUGUAAGAAUGCCCCCUUCUUUUAUGGUUGCUGCAAUGAGUAGUUAUGUGCCUUGCCAUUGUCAAUUUUACUGCAUUGUACUUCUUCCCAAGAGCCCCUGCGUCCGAGGAAGAUCUCAGAGU
rnacentral:misc_RNA from 1 species